CUUUGACUAAGUAAUAUAAGAAUUCCCAAAUUUUCUGGAAUUUGUAUUCUCUUUAUCCACGCCAAACAAAUAACAUAAUUUUCCUUUUAUCUCUGCACGAUUCUUUCGAUUUGCCUAAUUCUCAGGUCAUCUUUCCAGCUCCACUUGGUUGUGUAGUGCAUUUGUUUCCAAGAAAGCUUUUUUAUUGGAGAUGGCUGAGGACGGUCACAAGGUUAUCUUGAAUGUCUAUGACCUGAGCCA